GUUCAAAAAAUGUCUGCCCUGCUAGAGUUGCCCCGGUCAACUGUAAGUGCUAUUAUUGUGGAAACGUCAAGGAGCAACAACACAAGCUCACAGAACGGGACCGCUGAGUGCUGAAGCAUGUAAAAAUGGUGUCCUCGGCUGCAACACUCACUAACUUCCUUUAUUUCUUCACUUAUGCACUCAUUGUCACUUUCGAUUACUUCCUCAAUUUCACUGUCACUUUCUGACCAGUCAGUCUAUUUUUUAACUUUUUAAUUUUUCAACUUUAUUUAACCUGGUAGACGAGUUGAGAACAAGUUUUAAUUUACAACUGCGACCUGGCCAAGAUCAAGCAAAGCAAUGCGACACAAAAAACAAGACAGAGUUACACAUGGUAUAAACAAAUGUACAGUCGAUAACACAAUAGGAAAAAAAGUCUAUAUGCAGUGUGUGCAAAUGACGUGAGGAGGUAAGGCCAUAGUAGCGAAGUAAUUACAAUUUAGCAAAUUAACACGUAGAAGUUGAAAUACUGGUCUGCAAAAGUAGAAAUACUGAGGUGCAAAAGAGCAAAAAAGUAAAUAAAAACAAUAUGGGGAUGAA